rnacentral:rRNA from 1 species
CCUACGGGCGGCAGCAGUAGGGAAUAUUGCUCAAUGGGGGAAACCCUGAAGCAGCAACGCCGCGUGGAGGAUGAAGGUUUUCGGAUUUUAAACUCCCUUUGUUAGAGAAGAUAAUGACGGUAUCUAACGAAUAAGCACCGGCUAACGCCGUGCCAGCAGCCGCGGUAAUACGGAGGGUGCAAGCGUUACUCGGAAUCACUGGGCGUAAAGAGCGCGUAGGCGGGGUAGCAAGUCAGAUGGGAAAUCCUAUGGCUUAACCCUCGAACUGCAUUUGAAACUGUUAUUCUAGAGUAGGCGAGAGGUAGGUGGAAUGCGUGGUGUAGGGGUAAAAUCCGUAGAGAUCAAGAGGAAUACUCAUUGCGAAGGCGACCUGCUAGAACAUAACUGACGCUGAUGCGCGAAAGCGUGGGUAGCAAACAGGAUUAGAUACCCUAGUAGUC